rnacentral:rRNA from 1 species
AGAACGAACGCUGGCGGCGUGGAUAAGACAUGCAAGUCGAACGCGACUUAUCUGGUUAGCAAUAACUAGGUAAGUUGAGUGGCGAAAGGGUGCGUAACACGUGGGAAUUUACCAAGAAGUGGGGAAUAGCUCGACGAAAGUCGAAUUAAUACCGCAUAUGAUCGCAAGAUCAAAGCCGGGGACCGCAAGGCCUGGCGCUUUUUGAGAAGCCCGCGGCCCAUCAGCUAGUUGGCGGGGUAAUGGCCCACCAAGGCUAUGACGGGUAGCUGGUCUGAGAGGACGACCAGCCACACUGGAACUGAGACACGGUCCAGACACCUACGGGUGGCAGCAGUCGAGAAUUUUUUCACAAU